UCCCUAGUGGCUCAGUGGUAGAGAAUCUGCCUGCCAAUGCAGGAGACGCAGGUUCGAUCCCUGCUCUGGGAA
rnacentral:tRNA from 1 species